UACGUAGGUGGCAAGCGUUAUCCGGAAUUAUUGGGCGUAAAGAGCGCGCAGGUGGUUGAUUAAGUCUGAUGUGAAAGCCCACGGCUUAACCGUGGAGGGUCAUUGGAAACUGGUCGACUUGAGUGCAGAAGAGGGAAGUGGAAUUCCAUGUGUAGCGGUGAAAUGCGUAGAGAUAUGGAGGAACACCAGUGGCGAAGGCGGCUUCCUGGUCUGUAACUGACACUGAGGCGCGAAAGCGUGGGGAGCAAACAGGAUUACGAUACCCU
rnacentral:rRNA from 1 species